rnacentral:rRNA from 1 species
GAGACAAGCUAAGAAUAUUCCGCAAUGGGGGAAACCCUGACGGAGCGACGCCGCGUGGAUGAUGAAGGCCGGAAGGUUGUAAAAUCCUUUUAUGACUGAGGAAUAAGUAAGGUGAGAGAAACGCCUUAUGGUGACUGUAGGUCAUGAAUAAGCAACGGCUAAUUACGUGCCAGCAGCCGCGGUAACACGUAAGUUGCGAGCGUUGUUCGGAAUUAUUGGGCGUAAAGGGCAUGUAGGCGGUAAUGCAAGUCUGGUGUGAAAUACCGGGGCUCAACCCCGGAACUGCGUUGGAAACUGCAUUACUUGAGUCACUGAGGGGCAACCAGAAUUCCAGGUGUAGGGGUGAAAUCUGUAGAUAUCUGGAAGAAUACCAAUGGCGAAGGCAGGUUGCCAGCAGAUGACUGACGCUGAGGUGCGAAGGUGCGGGGAGCAAACAGGAUUAGAUACCCUGGUAGUCCGCACAGUCAACGAUGUACACUGGGUGUCUGUGCAGAAGCAUGGGUGCCGAAGCGAACGCGAUAAGUGUACCGCCUGGGGAGUAUGCCCGCAAGGGUGAAACUCAAAGGAAUUGACGG